UGAUGACCAUAGUGAUAGUGAUAUAGACCUAUGCGGCAUGGAAUGUAAUACUGACCAAGAUGGUUUUCCCAGCAACAGGGAACUUUUUGAGUACUUGGAGAGUUUUAAAGUUUUUGAACUUGGCGAUGUUCACUUUCUCUUGAAAGUUUCUGAGAAGCUGAGAAAUGCCUUGGUUCACCAC